GCCGCGGUGGUGGAAUUGGCAGACACGGGAGACUUAAGAUCUCCUUCUCGCAAGAGAGUGCGGGUUCGAGUCCCGCCCGCGGUA
rnacentral:tRNA from 1 species